CAAUUAAUAAAUUGUUAGAAUUAGAUUUCGAUGACUCAAGAAGAUUGGCCAGAAUUAGAAAAAAAACCAAUAAACAGAUGGGAUCAUUGUCUGUGUUUAAAAGGAUUGGUAGACAAUAAAACUAUAAAAGAAAUAAAAAAGGAACCAAUGAUCUCUGGAGUGCUGGAAAAAAGGGCAAGGUAAAUUACCAAUAAAUAAAGUUGAUAUAGUCCCAAUAGGGUUUUUAGACAAUAAAAGGAACAGAUAUUUGGCAAAGUGAUAACCAAUUUAAAACAAAACAGAAUGAAAUUAACAAGAGACCUUCUAAACCCAGACAGGGCAAUUAAGGAAUGGGAGACGAUAAGGGACAAUUGUGGUCAAUCUAACUGGCUUCUUUGGAAUGAAUUGUAACAAAUGAUUAUGAAUUGGAAAAAAAGGAAGGUCCAGAAACAGAUUUUGACCAAAUUUUAAAGUGGAAAUUAGAAAAGGAGAAAGGCAUGAUGGGUUUUAUAUAGAAGAAAUCAAUUGAAAAACAAUAUAAAUUAAAACAAACAUUUGCCAAGAUAUGGAAACCGAACCUGAAUAGCAAUGAGUCAGACAUUGAAUACUGGAUCAAUUCAAUUAAAAAAAUUAGAGGAUUAGAGAAACACAAAGGAAAAUACUGACUAAAUGGUAUAAACCCCCAAUUUAAUUAGCUCAUAUAACUAGAUCAGUCACAGAAUUGUGUUGGCACAGAUGUGGAGAAAUUGGCUCCUAUAUGCAUAUGUGGUGGGAAUGUGACAAAGUACAAACAUUUUAUAACAAGGUAAAGAAGGAAAUUGAAGAAUUAAUAGGAUAUACAUUGGUAGUGAAUAGUAAAGAAUUAUUCACCCAGAAACUAAACAAGAACAAAAACAUUAAGGAUUGAGGGGAAAUUAUAAAAUACAUGAUAGCUGCCAUCCAAACAACUGUGGCCUUGCAUUGGAAAGAGCAAAGAAAGUGGGAAGUUAAAAAUGAUAUGGAUACCUAGCUGACUUUAUGCUCCAGGAUUACAUCCUUGAAAGGAGAACCAAAUAUACAUCAGGCUGAAUCAAGAACUGGGAUCUGAAAUGGAGAAGAUUGAUAAAGUCAAAGGAAAAGUAAAAUAUAAAGAACUGAACCAUUCUCUCUUUAUGAUUAAUCAAUUAAAAUAAUAUCUGAAGGAAGGAAAGUACUGUUCCCAGAGGCUGGAGGGCAGGGAGGAGGGUGUGAAAUACUGAUAGACACAAGUGGGAGAUAAAGGUAGAACCAGCAACGUUAAGAAUACUAAGAAAAUAACAUUUGAUACGUAUAUUGAAACGAUGAUAGAUUUUGAUAUUAUUUUACUUGUGUUUACAAUAAAAACAUAUUUUAAAAAAUACCAUCUUGUCAAGAGUCAGACGCCAGUUAACAUACAAAACAGAGUUUAUUCCAAAGAUAAGCCAAAAAAUAACAUGAACACAGGAAAUAUCCUUGAAACACUUCACUUAUCAGUGUUUCAAGAGUAGAUUGGACAAUAAUAACUCAAAAGCAAGCCACGCUAAUUUCCCAUGCUGGCAUUCAAUAAAAAACUAAAUAACGCUUCAAUUCAGCUUUGGAAAACAAAUAGAGUUAAUUGCUGGAAAAAUAAACAAACUAGGAAAGCAGUAAAACUGCUUCCACGGUGCAGAUAAGCCGAGAGCCUCAAAGGGAUGAUGAAUAGCCGUCGUCAGAAGAAUCCAAGGUCAGGUCAGGAGGCAGCAGAAAUUCCGAAAGACAAACCAGUAGUCAGAAGCCGGGAGAAGUAGUCAGUCAGAGGGCGAAGACAGAAGCCAGGUCAAAUUCCAAUCCAGAGUCCGAAGAGGGUGCAGUCAUCCAAACCAGGUCCACGAAAAGGCACAAAGAUGGUAUCAGCAGAUCCGAAUCACAGUCCAAGUCCAGUCUUCACGAAAGCACAGAGAUCCCAAUGGCGCCUCAGCAACACCUUGCCACACGCAAAGUGUUGCUGAGGCGCCAUUGGGAUCUCUGUGUUUCCAUGAAGACUGGACUUGGACUAUGAUUUGAAUCUGCUGUUAUCACCUAGCUUGGCUCUCGCUGUGUCUUAUCGUGGACCUGUUUUGGAUGACUGCACCCUCUUCAGACCUUGGAUCGGAAUUUGACCUUGCUACUGCCUUCGCCCUGUGAUUGAUGACUACUAUCGGCUUUUGACUCCUGGCUUGCUCUUUGGACACCGCUGUUAUCUCCUGACCUGACCUUGGAAUCCCGGACGACGUCUUUUCACCAUCCUUUUGGAGCCUUCGGCUUUAUCCACAUUGUGGAAGCAGUCUACUGCAUUCUUAGUUUGUUUGUUUGUUUCCUGACCAAUUUGGUGUUUUCUUUUGGGAACUGUUCCUUUGAAAACUACAGAGCCGGCUGGCAGGGCUUGGACUCAGAAAGUGCAGUUUGCACUAAGUUUGUUUAGCUUUGUUUUUACCUGCUUGUGUUGCUGAAUUAUAUUUUUGUUUGAACUGCUCUUGAAGCACUGAUAGUGAAGUGUUUCAAGGUUUUUUCUGUGUUAACAUUACCUUUUGGCUUAUCUGCUGAAUAAACUCUAUUUUUGUUCGCUAA